UGGCUUGCUUUUUUGCUGAUAUACAAAUGUAGUUACACAGCAUGGGAAACCGGUAAAUUUAGCACGACCCAGGUUGGUGGCCAAAGAAGGCAUUGUUCGUGUCCAGGAAUCUGCGGGCAUGGCAGAGAAAUUAAAAUACCAUGCAUUCAAGAGGAACACUCUUCUUGAGGAGCUACAAACUAUUCUACACGAGUACCCAGACAAUGAGCAAAUUAUUAAGGAGUUGCUUCAAAAUGCAGAGGAUGCAGGGGCUCGUGUUGUCAAGAUGGGGUUUUGUCCUUCAUCAAGAUCACAACAUCUUCCUGACCCAUACAAAAAAUAUUUAUCGGGUCCAGCAUUUUGUUUCUACAAUGACUCGGUCUUUGAAGAGAAGGAUUGGGAAGGAAUAACAAUGGUCAGAAAGAGCAACAAACAUGACGAUCCACUGAAAGUGGGAAAGUUUGGAAUAGGAUUCAAGUCAGUGUUUCACAUAACAGAUAUCGUUGUGGUGAUUAGUGGAACGUCAAUAUUGUUCAUUGAUCCAUUGUAUGAAGAGAUUGAUCCCAGGAAAGUUUGUUGUCAGGUGUCAAUAUCAGAUUUUGUGCAGCAAGAUGUGUGUGGUCCACAAGCAUUAGAAUCUUUAUACAGCUUGUUUGGAAUUAAUGAAGACACCAUCAGGGGAGGGAAUUUUGCUGGAACAGUGUUCUGGUUUCCCCUUAGAAAUUCACCGUCAAACUUGUCGGAAAAUGUUUAUACACCCAAAAAAGUUUCAGACCUCCUCGCAUCCUUCAAGAAAGAAAUUGGCACCGAGAUGCUAUUUCUGACAUCAAUUGAAGAAAUUGGAUUGUUCAAUAUGGUAAAUAGCAGAUGGGAAACUGAUACUGUAGUUUCACUAGAUAAUAACUGUGCCAAAGGUAUCAGAAAAGAAAGAGAAAGAUAUAAAACUGAAAUAAAGGCUAUUGAAGAUCAUAUGGAAGGAGAUGAACGAUGGAUUACGAGUAACCAUUGCAAUCCAGUUUGGAUGAAAUGUAGUGUUACAUACAAUGUUGAGACAGAUGGAGAAACUUCAAGACAGGAGUGGCUGGUUAUCAAUUAUUUCCAUGCAGGUACCAUGAGUGCUGAGAUCUCAAACCUUAUAAGAAACAGGAGAUCUAAAUACAGACCAUAUAUUGGUAUUGCUGCACGACUUGACCAACCCAUUGCAUGUGGUCAGUUAUUUUGUUUUUUACCACUACCGUUUCAGGAUGAAAGUUCAACUGGACUGCCAGUCCAUGUGAACGGAUUUUUUUCACUUGAUAGUAAUAGACAACAUAUAAAGUGGCCUUCCCAUGAUCAAACAAGUAGCAAAUCCCAUAUAGAAAAUGACAUGCUGUGGAAUGUUUAUAUGGUACAUGAGAUUCUACCAAUUGUUUAUAAAGAACUUUUUGAGUUUUGGCACAACAACCCAAAAUUAGGUCAAAUGGAUUUGAAAAUAUUUUAUCAUUGCGUUCCCAGAAAGAAAGACAUUAAGCACAAUUGGGGUUGUGUUGAAAAAGAAAUAAAUGAAUAUAUGCUGGAAUCAAGAAUACCGUGCAUUGAGAAAAGAACAUGGGUGAAUAUAAAAGAUGCUCAUUUUGCCAUUUUCAAUGAGGACAUCAAACAAGAUGUUAGGGACUCUGUUAUUGAUGUUUUCUCGAAAUGUGGAAAGAAAGUUGUUAUACUUGGAGAACAUGAAGAUCUUUUCAAACAAUGGAAUAGCCUUGCAAACUUAAGUUAUACUAGUCCUAUGGAAACACGAAAUCUUCUGAAAAUUCGAAAUGAAUACAAAGAACUUGAAAAAAAAUGUAAAGAACAUCUUCUUAUAUAUUGCUGCAGUGACGGCAAGCUGUCUCAACUAGGUGGAAUAGAGUUGUUACCACUCCAAAACAAGAAGUACCACACUUUUCAGGAAAAACAAAGAGGGAAACAAGAAAAUGUUUACUUGUGUGAUGAAGAGGAAUUGGAAAUUUUAAUUGGAAAAGAAGGUUCCCUUGUUUUAAAAGAUUCAACAGAACUUGGACACUUGUUACAUAAACUUGCCACCUCAGGUUACUAUGCCUUCCAAAAGUUGUACUCAAGUAACUGGUUUCAGUUCUUGUGUGAAAUUUCGAAAAUGUCUGAAAUGACUACUGAAAAGCCAAAGCUUCUUAGACAGUCAAAUGCCAUCUUUGGAGAUAUCUGGCUUUCAAAAGUAUGGCGAUACCUUGCAAAUAUGCACCAACUUUCUAUUGACCCUGUGCAAGAGUUGUUCCUUAUAAAAACGAAGGAAUCAAAUGAAUUGAAAAGGGUUUCUGACUCGUUUAUUUGUGAGACAGACUUAGAUGAUUGUCACAUAAAAACUUUGGCCUAUUUUAAAAUUUGGGUUCUGGAUACGACGUUUUAUGACAACCCAUUACUAAAACCAGGAAAGGGGAUUGUUCAAGAAGUCACUGAUGAAGGAAAGAGUAAAGUUUUGGAAAGAUGUAUUACAAAUGGAGUAGAUUUAUUUAACAAUCAGAGCACUGAUACAGAAAAGGAAUGGUUUAAACAAUUCUUACCAUAUAAAAUACAAAAAUCAUUGAUAACAUCCUUACGAAGAUUGAACAUAUUCAAGUGUUUUUCCAGUGCUCACACAGGUUGUUUUGAUUACACAUCCUUGGAUCAAUGUGACAGAGUGUACAUUGGAAACAGAGAUUUUCCAAUUCAGUUUCCAACGAAAAUGAUUAUGUCCGGAAACCAACUUGAAGAAAGACUUUUAAUAGAGUUAAAUGCCUCCAAUUUUGAUUUAAAUGACUGUGUGCAUAACUGGCUGGGAGAAAAUGUUAAGCAACUUCUUAAAGCCUCUGAUGAAGACAAACGCAAAUUUUGUUUUUAUGUGUUAGGGAAAAAAUCAGAACUUAAAAAUUGGGAGAAAAUUCAAACACUCUUGAAUAAAGUCAAAUUUAUAGGAAAUGGAACAAAACAGCUUUACAGUGCACAAGAUCUAUAUGAUCGAAAUGAUAGCGUUCUUACGGAAUUCUUUCUUGGAGAAUCAAAAUUUCCCGAAGAGCAUGAUAUAGAAAUGGCUCUUCUUUGCAACUUGACGUUCAAGAAAUGUCAAAGUCCAGAGUUUAUGCUAGAUAUCGUUCACACAUGUCAAAAUUUUGAAAUGAUUUCGAUAGACUUGAAAGAAAGAAAAUCCGGUGCAUUGUUGCAAAUCUUAAGACAGAAUCCUCAGAUCGUUGAAUCUCUGUGCAAGAAAAUUGAGAGAUUCAAAUUUGUGCCGUUUCAAGAAGAGAGGAACACAAACUAUCCGAAAUCAAUGGACUGGUAUGCAAAUCCAGAAAAAUUUGUUGCUUUUGAGAUGAUGUAUAGUUCACAGAAUAUAUUUAUUAUUGGAUCAGUCCUCCCAACACCCCAAAAAGAAUGGGAGGAGUUUAUCGAUAAAUCAAAACAACCAGCACUGUCUGAUGUGAUCAAACAUUUUCACAAAGUAGUUAUGUGUUACAAUGAGGAAGAACACACAAGUUAUAGUUUUAUGAUGGAGAAAGUUUAUCAGUAUUUGGCAGGAAAAAAACUGAGCAAUUUUGAUAAGCUGCCGACUAGUUGCGUUUUUACUGAAAAAGGAUUUUUGCCAGCCAGUAAAAUUUACAUAGAACACAAAAAAUCAGAUGUGGAUUUGAAACCAUAUUACAUUCCAUUGCCAAAAGAAUACGUUGCGUUGAGGACUUCGUUUGAAAAGUUUGGUUGCAAAAAGAGUCAAUCAAGUGAUCUACUUGUACAGUGUCUCAUUGAAAUAGAAAAAUCUCAUCAGAAGAUAAACACCGAAUCGGACAGCAUUGAGGAUAUAAUAAAGGUAGAACAAAUUCUUAAAAAGUUGUCAGAGUUACCGAAAGAAGAGUUGGCUGGUAUACAAAAUAGAAUCAAAGUGCCAAUUCAAACGAUGGAUUCCGAUAAAUUGGAGUUCAGACUUGCUCAAGAAUGUGCAUAUUCAGAUUCUGGUUGGUUCAGUAGAACAUUUACAGAGGAAGACAAUGUAUGCCUGAUUCAUUCGAAAAUUGACAAAGGAAUUGCUAAAAAAAUUGGUGUAAAGUCAUUGAAAAAGUUCACUUUAUCUGACGCUGAAGAAAUUUGUUCUGAAUUUGGACAAUCGGAGCCUCUUACACAGCGGUUGAAUCGUCUUUUAGAAGAAGGAUACACUGAUGGUCUUUCUGUUCCAAAAGAACUCAUUCAAAAUGCAGAUGAUGCUGGUGCGUCCGAAGUAUAUUUUCUCUACGAUGAGAGAGAAAACGAAGAUGCUAAAAGUUGUCUUUUGGACUCUGGAAUGGAAGAAUGUCAAGGACCAGCCUUAUGGGCAUUCAACAAUGCAGUUUUCACGUCAAGUGAUUUUGAAAACAUCCAGAAACUAAGUGGUGCAACAAAAAAGCAAGACACAACAAAAAUAGGAAAAUUUGGUUUAGGAUUCAAUGCAGUGUAUAAUUUGACAGAUGUUCCCAGUUUUGUAAGUGGAACACACUUAGUGUAUUUAGAUCCGCACGGAAAAUAUUUAGGAGAAGCAAUUGUAAAUGAAAGAAGUCCAGGAAUUAAGCUCAAUCUGAAAAAUCGUGUAAUGCUUCACAAAUUGGCAAAUCAGUUUAAGCCUUAUCAGAAUGUGUUUGGAUUUAGAUCAUCAAUUUUCGCAGAAAACGAGAUUUAUGAAGGAACGUUGUUUAGAUUUCCUCUACGAACAAAAUCUCAAUCAAGGACAAGCGAAAUCAGUAGCAAAGAAUACUCCCCGAAAGAAAUGGAAAAACUAAUGAAACAGUUCUGCAAAACUAGUGGAAAUAUGAUCCUUUUCACACAACACGUAAAACGGAUCAAAAUAUUUCAUAUCGGUAGAGACUGCAUAAAUCCCGACGAAGAAAUGAAGUUGGUACUUACAAUCAAGAAGGAAGAAAACUGUGGACAAACAUCAAAAACGCGGGAACACAAUAUAUUAAGGGUAGCUUCCAAUCAUUGCUCAGAAAUGCAUGCAUCAAAAUUUCUUGAAAUAUUCCGUACAAAGAUAAUUCUAUCUAGUGAAGGCCACUCUUGGAUCGAUCAAACCUCACGAUAUCAUGAGGAAACUAAUUGGGUUAUAUCAUGGGCACUUGGACGAAACAAAUCCAUGAAACUCUUCAAAGAUAAAGAAAGUGACGGAGCGCUCCCUCUGUCAAGUGUAGGGAUUCCAGUGGAUGUAACUAACGGAUUUCUCUCUCCUGUAUUUCUUGGCAUAAGGAAACCAGUUUUAGACAAGUUUGGAUUCUAUGAUACAGGUCACUUAUUUUGCUUUUUGCCACUACCAAUAAAGAGCCCGUUUGCUUUCCAUGUAAACGGAACUUUUGCUGUUUCCUCAGAUCGCCAGCGACUUUUGACUAGGACUGAAGACGAUAAAGAAAACACAAAGCAGUCUGUUUGGAAUGAUUCUCUGUUAUCUGAUGCAACACUAGAGGCCAUUUUAGAGCUUAUAAUUGAAAUGAACAAUUCCACAGCAGAUAACUAUUUGGGGUAUGAGUUGUGGCCAACAAUGGGCGAAGAUAAAAUAUGGAGAUCAUUACAGGCCGAGUUUUACAAAGCUGUGAUACAGCGUGCGUUGCCCAUAUUCAAAACAUAUCAUGGAUACAAAAAUUUUCAAGAUUGCAUCUUCCUUCAUAUGGAGAUUAAGUCAGACAAGCAUUUAAACAGAAUUGCAUUUAACAUAUUACAAGACUGUCCACUGGAUGGAAAAACCAUUACGGAUAUACCAGACGAUAUAUACAAACAUUUAGAGUCUUGUCAUGAAGUAUCUUUUCUUGAACACGUUGUUUCUUAUGAGAAAUUUAUCACUAAAUCUUUUUUGCCAAACAUUUCAAAAUAUUCCGGAGAUGACUACGACAAAAUUGUUCUAAAAGCACUUCGUUCAAAUAACAAGAACAUUCUUUUGGCAUUGGAAAAAAGCAAUUGCAUAACGACUAAACCAGGAAGUCGUCGUAAGUCUCCCAAUGAAUUAGUUCACCCGAGCUCUGCAAUUUCGGGAAUAUUUUUAGCAGAAGAUGAAAGAUUUCCCUCAGAUUUGUUUUGCAAAGACAAAGAUUUAGAUGUUCUUGUAAAUCUUGGAAUGAUGAAAAAUAAAAUACCUUUUGACCUCUUGAAAUCACAAACUAUGCACGUAAGGAAUUUGUCAACAGAAUGCAACGAAUGUGCUUUCCUUCGUUCGAAAAAUAUUGUACGUUAUGCAAGAUUUAACGUUCCAGAGGAUUUGAAAAAGCAACUGUCCGAGAUACCUUUUCUGCCCGUUAAGAAAAAGCCAGAUAAUUGGCCACCUAUUCAGUGGGCAAAUGAUAACUUAACCCAGAAGAAUAUGAAAUGCCCUGACCACAAAGAUUCUGCAAGCAAUGUUGAACUAUUUGAAAAACCAUGUGACUUAUAUUUCCCAGACCUUCUUAACUUAGUAGGCUGCUCUAAACCUCUGCUUGGGAGAUAUGACGAAUUUGCAUUCUAUAGAGAUGAGUUACAGAUGCUUGGUUUAAAAAAAGAAAAAGAUAUUAAAGUGGAUACCCUUAUGUUUCAAAUCAAAGAGCUGACAAAACCGCCAGAAAAUGCUCAAAUUAAAGAAGUUGAAGAAAUGUGCAAAGAGUUUUAUAAUACAGUUUCCAAAAGACUGACAGAUCCAGAUAUCGAAGACUUUGUAAAUAAUCAGCUAUCGAACAUGCCAUGUAUUUUGACGGAAACAACUUUUGUUUAUCCAAAGCAAGUUAUUUUUUCAUUAAUGCAUGACUGUAGUCCGUUUUUGUAUGGACUAAGACCCUGGUGUGUUAAACGCUUUGCUCUGUUAAUGGAAAAAUGUGGAGUAAGAAAGUCGUUUGAAUCUUGUGACAUCAUUGAAGCCUUAUUAAGCCUCAAACAUCAGCACGACGGAGAACAGCUGUCUGAAGAUACACUAAAUUUGGUUUCUCGAAUAACCAAACUUUUAGAAGACUGUGAGUCUAUUCCGGUUGAAAAUCUUUAUCUUCCAGAUACAAAUGGGUUUUUUUGCCAAGUGAAUGAUUUGUGCAUUGACGAUUUUGAUUGGAUAUUUACAACGGAAUCAAUGAAGUUCCUUAACACAACAAUAUCUCUGAAAGUAGCAAAAUUGGUAGGUAUCAAAUCGAAAAGAGACCAAAGCAUACUAAAUGAAUCUGAAGGUUUUGGUGAUGAAUUUGGUCAACACGAGGAAUUGACAAAUCGAAUCAAACGCAUUUUAGAUGGGUAUCCAGAAGCAAGCAUACUGAAAGAACUUCUACAAAAUGCGGAUGACGCAGGAGCGACAGAGUUGCACUUUAUUAAAGAUUUCAGAUCUCAUGGAACUGAGCACAUAUUUAGUGAUAAUUGGAAAGAGUUGCAAGGCCCAGCCCUCUGUGUAUAUAAUGAUAGUGUAUUUACUGAAAAGGACUUGAUAGGUAUUCAGAAUUUAGGAAUUGGCAGCAAGGGAGAUGAUCCCACAUCUACAGGACAAUAUGGAGUUGGCUUCAAUGUUGUUUAUCAUCUCACAGACGUACCAUCAUUUUUGACAAGAGAUAUUGAAAACAAUUUGGAUACGUUGUGUGUACUAGAUCCGCAUAGAAAGUACAUUCCGUAUGCCUCUUCUAAAAAACCAGGCAGAAAAUUCCGCAAUGCAUCAGAAAUGGUAGGGGGGAAAUUUAAAGACAUAAUGCCUUGCUAUUUAUCAAAAAGCGACAUUUGGAAGUCUUCACGUGGAACUCGUGGAACUCUUUUCAGAUUUCCACUUCGUUGCAAAGCUGUUUCAUUAUUGUCAAAUAGAAUCACAAGUUGUGAUGAAAUGAAUGAUCUUUUAAAUGUGAUGAAAAAUGAAAUUGCUGAAUGUCUUGUAUUUCUGCACAAUGUUAGAAAAGUAUCCAUUUCUACAGUAAAGGAGGAUGGAUCACUGGAAAGAGAAUUCAUCGUUACAUCCGAAAUUUCAAAAAGAUCACGUGAGGAAAAUCUACAUACUUUCAUCUGCAAUGUUCGCGAAAUCAUGAAGAAUGAUCCUAGGUAUGCAUGCAGAGUGGACAGAAAAGAAAUGAAAUAUUCUUUGAAUCUUCAUAUAAAUAACGAGUUUACGCAGGAAUGGCUGGUUGUCACUGGGUUUGGCUUUGUGGAUAAGACUUUAGUUCCCCCCCGAAUUCAAAAGGCUUAUGCUGAAAAACAGCUGGCGUUGUUACCUACGUCUGGUGUUGCGUUCAAUUUAAAAAAUAAAAGGAUUAUAAAGACUCCCAAUGGCCAAAAAUAUGCUAGUGAGAAGUAUGGGAACUUUCGAGCUUAUUGCUUUUUGCCACUUCCUUUGCAUACUGGCUUGCCAGUUCAUGUAAACGGCCAUUUUGCCCUAGAUCAUGAAGCACGCCGAAAUGUUUGGUGGCCUGACGAAGACAACCAAGACUUAAAAGUGUGUUGGAACAGAUGCUUAAUUGAAAAUGUAAUUGUGCCAACUUACGUUUCAGUUCUUCAACACUUAAAAACGAUUCUUUUUCCUAACAGUAUAUCAGGAAAGCCGUGGACAUUGUUGGAUAAAUUUCACAGAGCAUUUCCUUGCCUGAAGAAUAUAGAAGACAAAGUUUGGCAACAUACAGCUAAAGCUUUAUACAUUCAUAUUUUUGAAAGCAGUUGUUUUGUUUUUCCUAUAGUAAGGAGAGAAUACGAAAAGUUGGAAAUGACAUCUGACGAACCGCAAGAAAAAGAAAAACAAACGAUCCAACAACCUGAGUCGAAGAAAACAGAAAUACAGAAUCCCAUUUUGAAAGAAGAACAUUUGGAAAUAAAAUGGGUUUGUUUACAGUCUGGUGGUUUUCCAGCUUAUUUUGACGAAAUUAAGUACCAGUUAAAAAAAGACGAAUUAAAACAGCAAAGUUACUAUGGAAUGUAUGGACAAAGCUAUCGUGAAAUUAUGAACUGGGCGUCAAGACAUUCAGAAUUUUUAUCAGGUACCCUCAAAGACCUUGGAAUGAAAAUCAUAGAAUCACCGAUGUGGAUAUUUGACAGCAUGAAAGAUUCAGGAACUAAUGUACAGACUGUUUCUCCUAAAGAAGUUUUGCAAUUUUUGAAAUCGUACAGCUCAAACGAAUUAGACAAAUGUAACAUUAAGAAAGUAAAAGUGCAUGUAAGUGAGACAAGAUUUGAAAGUAUCGACGGAGUUUACUACAUAUUAGAAUACUGUCUACUGGAUAAGAAAUUAACUUCUUUAGACUUUCAAAAUGUUCCCCUUUUACUUUCAGAAGCCACACAAAUUCAUGAAUUUGAAGAAAGAAAACAGGUUUUUCUUACAUCAGUAUCUGGUCUGUUACCCGUUUCUGCAAACAGUAUCGCACAUUCUUCACAAUAUAACAUACUGCGAAGAGUUAAGCUGUUUCAUCCAUAUGUGAAAAAUCUACAAAUUGCGGACUUUUCGGAACUCGUUAUAGAUAGUAUUCCAAAUGAGUUUUGCAAGGGGACAAUUGAAAAGUGGGAUAAAGAGUCAUCAAGUUUACCCAAUCAAAUAUGGAUUAAACGUUUUUGGCUUUUUCUUGCAGAAAAUCUUGCGGGCUUUGAAAGAGAGAGUCAAAAUAGACAGACGGAUCAAAUUGAUAACCCUCCCGUUGAACGACUUUGUAGCUAUUUAAAAAUGAAUUUAGGAGCUUGCAGCUUUUUACCUGUUUCGCUAAAUGGAUCCUACAGACUUUUUCCUUUAAGUCAAGGGAAACAUGUACUUAAAAUGUUGCCAAAAUCUGACUGCCAUGAACAGUCAGCAUUGACCAAGUUGAAUGUACCUCUGUUGGAUUGCGAAUCUAUGCUCUACUUCAAAGAAGAAAACUCUUAUUCUGACUACCGCAUUUCAAAAAUAACAAACUCGUUGGUAGCUACUGUUGAUAAUGUUUUAGAUAUAUUGGAUUGUGUACAUUUUAACAGAAUGAGUCUUAACCUUGACGAGAGUGCUUGUGCAGUGAUGGUUGACUUUUUUAUAAGACAUAUUGAAAAAAUCAAGAACAACGCGGUCUCCAUAAUGAAACUAAGAUGUUUGCCUUUUUAUUAUGGUUUAGUUGACAGAUUUACAACAUUGUCAGAGAGAGAAAUUUAUGUGUUGCCAGAUGAAAUGCCCGAUGAGGGUCUUAAUGAAUUUGCACAAAAAAGUGGAAUCGUAUUCAGAAGACAAAAAAGUCUACCAAUGUACUUUUUCGAAUACUUAGGCGUGAUUACAAGGACAGCUACAGAAUUAUAUGUCUAUAACAUUCUUCCAAAUUUUAAUCACAUGCCAACUGAAGCAAUUUCGAAUCACUUGAAAUAUAUCAAGGACAUAAUUAUACCUCACUUAAAGCACUUUUCAAAUAAGAAAAGUAAAAAGCAUCUACCGGUUUUGGAAGAGUUAUUGCGCAGUAUUGCUUUCGUACCUGUAGAGCGUUACAGAUAAGCAUGUGCAAGUGAAUUCUUUAAUCCACACAAGGAAAUGUUCAAAAUAGAAAACCGACUUUGUCGUCCGUCUGAACUCCCUCCACCUCCAUAUGAUGAACAUGAAUGGGAAGAGUUCUUGGUACAUUGUGGAAUGAAGAAUGACGUGACCCUUGAUAUCUUUUUGGACUUCGCAAAUCGUUUGGAAAGAUUGGCAGACCUAGAUGGAAUAACUACAGUAGUAAUUGAAAAUUCAAAACGAAUGGUUACAACACUCUUUUCUGAUCCAAACUUGUCUGAAAGCUAUUCCUUGCAGAGAAUUCAAACUGCAAGAUUUCUUACACCCCAUAACAUUCAACAAGUAUUGCUUACUUUGGCUCCAAAACUUGAAAGACUAAAACAGCUUCUAUGUUUCCGCGACGCCACAUUGCCCUCAAAUGAACUUUUAGUGUGGACAGUGAUGGGAAUGAUUUCAGAAGACGUUUCAAAUGUGAUGAAGAAAGCUGAUGUAUGUGUUGCAGUUAAGAAAUUUGGCCUGUUGGAUGAUCCACCUUUAAGAUGUGUAUUAGACCACACAGUGAUUGUAUGUAAUGCUCUUAAAGGGCAUUUUAAACGACUUUGCACAAAAAAUCCUGAAAUUGAAUGGCUGGUUAUAAGAAUGAUGAGUCAAAUUUACAUAUUUUUGCAGAAAAGUCAAAAUAACGGAUUUGAACUUAAUUUGGAAAACAUACCAUUUGUGUUAAUCAAAGAGCAAAAACUUUUUGUUACACCAGAACAUGUUGUUUUAGAUAUUAAUUUGCAUGAAGAAAUACCUCCCUACUUGUGCAAGGCUUCUUUAUAUUUUGGACAGUUCCAUUCCUUAUUUGAAAAGAGUGGCGCAGGAAAAUCCUUAAAAUGUAGUCAUUUAGCGAAUGUGCUGUUUGAGAUAUGGACAAAGUCAAAGGGAGCAGUUUUGGAACCAAAUGAAAUGCAUUCUUCGAGAAAAGCUGUUCAAAUUUUGUUUUCCAAAUUAAAAACAGAAAACGUUGUCGAAUUAAAUGUGUCAGUUCUCUACCUACCCAGCAAGAAAAACACUUUGAUUCAAAGCAGUGAAUUAGUUUUCAUUGAUGACAGACUGUUAGAGAGAAGAAUUGGACAUAACAUGCCCGAAAUGAAUUUCUUCGUUGGCUUUAAAGAGUUGUGCAUGGACUGUUAUGAUCCUGUAUCUGAAAUAAGUAGACUUCCACAGAAACAUAGGCCUCAUUUACUGUCAAAGGUUGUGAUAGAACAGUUAGACUCAGAAUGUAAAAAAUGUACUGUUCCAUCACCCUAUGCAAAGAAAUUACAAACAUUUUUACAUUGUCGGGAAUUUCUUGCUGGUGUAUGCAGACUUGUCCGGGAUGAACAAUACAAGAAUGACAGAGUUUGUGGAGAAGAAGUAGAGUUAGAAAUACAGAAGAAACUUCAAUCUGUUGAAGUAAGAUGUGUUGAACAACUAACGACUGUGAUGACGUAUAAGAGCAAAGUAUUGCAAAAUACUAGUAAGCAAAAGUCGAUAUUUUCAGAGACAGAUACUGAUGAUAUUGGAGAGUCGAAGUUAAUCAUUUACUUUGUAGAAACUGGAAAUCCAAAUGAUAAUUCAUGGAUAAAAUUACAGGUUUCGAUUGACUUAAAUGAUUAUCUUGGAAAACCACUCAAAGAAAACCACAUUCAUCUUCCAGAUAUAUUGAAAUGUAUAAAUGAACCAAGUGCAAUAGAAAGAGAAUUGGAUAAUCAUGGUAUCUGUAGCAUAGAAACAGAAAACCUGUCAAAACUUUUACCAUUUAUGCCUGAGCUUGGAUCUGAAAUUCCUAUAGUUUUGCAUCAUCUUUUGGACAACUCCUGUACGUAUAUAGAUCCAGGAGAGUAUGUGGCUUAUGAACUAUUCGAUCCUAUCAUUGACGAAGACGAUGCUUGUGAGACUGAACCUGUAUACAUUUUAGCGAAAGUCCUUGAAACAAAUGCCAGCAGAAAUGAGAAUCCAAAUGCAGAUGAAUGGACUAUAAGCUAUCUAUUGGACAUUGGAAGCGAUCAGCCAAUCGAGGUUGUAGCAUCAAAAGUGUAUAAGUUCAUUCGAAGCAACACUGAUGAUACUAAUAUGGAUGUUGUAGAUUGCGCAGUAGUGUUUAGUUGGAAUUUUGAUCGAGUUAAAUGUUACAUCAGAGAUGUGUUGAAAAACGCAUUUGCAAGAGGUGAUCAGGAGUUUAGAAGAACUUUAAAACGUCUUCUGCUUCAGUAUCAUCCUGACAAACACUUGGAUAACAAGGACUACUUUAAUGAAUUGACUUUAUUUAUUUACUUUGUGAAAAAAAGGUUGGAAAAUGGUGAAUCCGUUGAUGAUGCAGCAAUAUUUAACUUCAAUAAAAGGGAAGAAUUCCCACGAUCACAUUUUACAGAAAAUGUUUAUCAACGCGGAACAAGGCAAGGAAGACAUCAGAGAAGUUAUAGACAAAGUGAUGAUUAUUUUAGCCAAUUUUUUUCGAGAGGUUCUCAACCUGGACAAGCAAGAAGGUGGUAUUGGCAAGCAGAAAAUGACUUACAGGCCUCCACAUCGGAUAAAGACCAGCCUGGUGCAUACAACUGGGCAUGUUACAAAAGCCAUCAGUCUGCAGAAAAGGCAUUGAAGGCGUUGCAGUAUCAACUCGACGCAGACCAGGUUAUCCAAACACACAGACUUCCGGCUCUAACGAGUUGUUUAAAUGACUCUGAGUUGUCAAUGCUUGCCAUACGUUUGGAGGGAAUAACGGGGAACUAUUUCCAAAUGCGGUACCCUGAUGCCGUUCCUAGUGGAGAUGGGAUGAGAAUACCUUCGGAUUUGUACAAUGCUGCCAAGGCUAAAGACGCCAUUGAAUUAGCGGGGGAAAUUCUUCAACGUGUCAGAUCUAAAAUCCCGAACCUUUGAAAACAAUCUGAUUGUGACGGAACUGGUUAGAGUGGAUGUUGAGUGAUUUAUGCGAUGUAUAUAAUAGAUUUGUCUUUAAUUUUUUCUUUGAAGUUUUAUGUUUCGUAAAAAAAAUCUAUAUUUUAUGAGUGUGUGUGUGUAUAAUUUUGCAGAAUUCAUACGAAGAGAACCAGUACAACUUAGUUUUUCAAUGUUGUAUCAGUAUAUUUUAUAUAGUAUCACUAUGUUUAAAUUCUUUUCAUAUAUUGCAAAUAAUGUUGACUAUACUGAAGGAGAAAAAUACUUGUUAUUUUAUUUCUUUUUGUUAGUAUAGCCCAAACCUUUUGAUUUAUUUAUGUGUUUAUUUGUUGUUUGUUUUCAUUAUUGCGCGCGAAGUCAAAAGGAAGGCGCAUUUCGACAUGUAUAUGUAUAUAUUGGCUAUAUGUAAGAAAGCUGUUUUGUGUAUUUUCAUUUUCACUCCUAUUGUAUAAAGGAUAGAACAUUACCUAAUUACUUACCUGUAUAUAUUUAUAUUUUUGUACAAUAUUUUAUUAUGAAAGAAAUAAUUGCAGUAUCGUUCGUUUUUUUCUGAAGUAAAAGUUAUUAAGAAAUUUAAACUUUAGGAAUAUACUGAAAAGUAGUUAAAACCUUUUAGAGAGUUAUAAGAAGAGUACCUUUAUUGACAACAUCAAUGAGUCAUGGCGUCAUUAAAAUUAUUUUAUUUCACAAACAUGGAAAUGAAUAUACCAUUUGUUUGUUUGACUUGAAAACACUAAACACAUGUUUGCUCUUGUGCCAUUUGGUAUGUUUAAGAUUUUAUGAACACCAAUGGUUAUUUAAUUGGACUUCGAUCCUUACAAUGGCCGAAUGUGAAAAAAUGUAUGUUUUUGCAUGUGUUAAUUUUAAGAAGUGUGUGAUAUUUUUCCUUUUAAUGGUGUCAAAAAAGGACAAGUAUUGCAUAAUAAUCAAUAUUACAUGUAUCUAGAAUAUGGGAUAGCGAAUAUAAAUAAAACCAAUAUAGUUACAUGUACAUGACAUAAUACUACUUAAACAUUUAAGGGCUGAUAUGGACCCUAUCAAAUAUAGGCCCUAGUACUAAUUAAAAUGCAAGUAUUACGUUAUUGUAGAUGAUAUAUGAUUUACUGGUGGUUUAAUGACAGGAUUAUAAUUUAUUUUGUUGUAUUUUAGUAAUUACAUGCAUUACUUAUGUACUUUUGAGAAUUGUAGUCUAUGUUGCUAGAUUUAAACUUAAACUUCGUUAACUUUUUUAUUUUAGACAUUGUUUUAGACGAUCAUGAAUUUUACUUUAUGUAAAAAUUCUUGCGAAAUAUUGACUUGCAAAAAGUAAUCAACAGAACUGUUAUUCAUUUAAUCUAGAUAAAUUUUAUUUUAUUCUUUUCUGCUUUUAAUAAACUGAUUAAAGAAUAUAUAAUUUCUCUUACGUACGAAAACAUAGCAAAACUGAAUAAUAAUGAUAUUUUCCAAGGAGUCAUAACAAAUUACCGAAUGCAAUUCUGAUGGACGAUCAAUAUAAGGUGCUCACUGGCAUAUCGUAAUUAAAUAAAAGGUCAGAAACUUG